UACGUAGGGUGCAAGCGUUAAUCGGAAUUACUGGGCGUAAAGCGUGCGCAGGCGGUUAUGUAAGACAGUUGUGAAAUCCCCGGGCUCAACCUGGGAACUGCAUCUGUGACUGCAUAGCUAGAGUACGGUAGAGGGGGAUGGAAUUCCGCGUGUAGCAGUGAAAUGCGUAGAUAUGCGGAGGAACACCGAUGGCGAAGGCAAUCCCCUGGACCUGUACUGACACUCAUGCACGAAAGCGUGGGGAGCAAACAGG
rnacentral:rRNA from 1 species